AUGAUUCCUCUUUUAACCGGAGUCUCAUCCAAGUGUUUUCAUUUUGCCAAGUUCAAACUGUAUUCCUUCCAUGUCCAACCGGAGUGUUGUAUCAUCUCUUUAAUAUCUUUUCAUCUCAUCAAGUUUUUCUUCUCUUUUCUACUGGAGUGCUGUCCAAAUUCUGUCAUUCUUGUUCCUUGGCUAUCUCAUUAUACCGAGGUGGUCAUAUUCUUUUCGUUCGUGAAGCUCUUAUUUCUUAUGUCUUUCAAUCUACAAGGUUCUCAUAAUGUUGCUUAUUCCUCGUGUUUAACGGAGUGUUUUCAAUCUCGUUCAUCUCCCUUGUAUUCUCUCUUUCAGUUUUUCAACCUCUCAAGGAUCGUGGUUUCACUCGUUUGUCAAAGAAGCAACUUAGUUUUACCUCUUCUCUUCCUCUUCAUUUUCCCUCCGGUGCCAUCCUAG
rnacentral:rRNA from 1 species